GCAAGUCGAACGAGAAAGGGAUUGCUUGCAAUCCCGAGUAGAGUGGCGCACGGGUGAGUAACACGUAGAUAAUCUACCUUCAAGCCCGGAAUAACUAUUCGAAAGGAUAGCUAAUACCGGAUAAAGUUGAUUGACACAAGUUGAUUUAUGAAAGAUUGCCUCUUCUUGAAAGCAAUUGUUUGGGGACGAGUUUGCGGACCAUUAGUUUGUUGGUGGGGUAACGGCCUACCAAGACUACGAUGGUUAGCUGGUCUGAGAGGAUGAUC
rnacentral:rRNA from 1 species